rnacentral:rRNA from 1 species
GAUGAACGCUAGCGGCAGGCCUAAUACAUGCAAGUCGAACGGGAUUGAGGAGCUUGCUCCUCAUGAGAGUGGCGCACGGGUGCGUAACACGUAUGUAACCUACCUUAAUCAGGGGAAUAGCCUCUCGAAAGAGAGAUUAACACCGCAUAAAAUCACACUAUGGCAUCAUAGAAUGAUCACAUAUUUAUAGGAUUAAGAUGGGCAUGCGGAACAUUAGCUAGUUGGUAAGGUAACGGCUUACCAAGGCUACGAUGUUUAGGGGAUCUGAGAGGAUGGCCCCCCACACUGGUACUGAGACACGGACCAGACUCCUACGGGAGGCAGCAGUAAGGAAUAUUGGUCAAUGGGCGGAAGCCUGAACCAGCCAUGCCGCGUGCAGGAAGACGGCCCUACGGGUUGUAAACUGCUUUUGUACCGGAAUAAACCUUUCUACGUGUAGGAAGCUGAAUGUACGGUAAGGAUAAGGAUCGGCUAACUCCGUGCCAGCCGCCGCCGUAA